rnacentral:lncRNA from 1 species
UCAUUAUUAUGAAAGUGAGUAUUAGUCUAUUCUUUGAUAGUGUAUUGAUAGCUACCAUUUAAUUGGAGGUUAAUUUUUAUCAUCACACCGAAUAUUAUUUUUAGGCUAUCAUGAAUUAUUUUUAAAAAGUUGGCUGAAAGAAGAGAAGACAUUAUAGUAGUAGAAUCCAACAAAGAAAUUAUAGCAUGGGAGAUAUAGCAAAGCAAUCUCAGAUGGAAACUUAGAUAUAAUACAUCCAACAUCAGAUAGCUAUUGUGCAAGAGUAAAUAGAAGCCUCUAUAAGAAUGAAAGUGACAUCUGUUAGGUUGAAAUUGAACAAGCUCAAUACAUACUUUGGG